GCCCUUGUGGUGCAAUGGAUAAGCACUCAGCUGCUAACCUAAAGGUUGGUGGUUCAAACCCACCUAGUGGCC
rnacentral:tRNA from 1 species